AUUUACCUACGGGGGGCAGCAGUGGGGAAUAUUGCACAAUGGGGGAAACCCUGAUGCAGCGAUGCCGCGUGAGUGAAGAAGUAUCUCGGAAUGUAAAGCUCUAUCAGCAGGAAAGAUAAUGACGGUACCUGACUAAGAAGCCCCGGCUAACUACGUGCCAGCAGCCGCGGUAAUACGUAGGGGGCAAGCGUUAUCCGGAUUUACUGGGUGUAAAGGGAGCGUAGACGGCAGCGCAAGUCUGGAGUGAAAUGCCGGGGCCCAACCCCGGCACUGCUUUGGAAACUGUGUGGCUC
rnacentral:rRNA from 1 species